ensembl:lncRNA novel transcript (FLJ31241)
CAAAUGUCGGUGUGCUCUCAUGAACAGAAACGAUGGCACGGUGGGUCCUGGUCUCAAGACUUCCUCUCAAUGAUUCAGAGGUCUUGGGGGUUUUUUGUCUGAAUAUCAGGCAAAGAGGAAGGACGGCUACAAUGGAGGAGUCUCCUACCACGCUUGUGGUCGUCACUGUAGUGCUCAGUUGAAUGGUGUGUCCAUUGGGGUUGGAGUCCCCAUCCUGUUCUGGGUCCUGGCCCCCCACAGGCUCCAGGGACAUAACCCUUCCAGUUCAGGAUCAUGUGCUGGGGCACUGUUCCCUGAGGUGGGACUCUGGGCUGUAACAGCUGCUUUUGAAGCAUGUUCCAGCUUCAACCACGUGCUUGGACGACACCAGCUCUUCCCACAUACUCUUCCCCAGCUCUUGUGUUGAGUUUGGCUUCCACCUUCCUCCAGCUGUAGAGACAGGGUUUCUCCAUGUGGGCCAGGCUGGUCUCGAAAUCCUGGCCUCAAGUGAUCUGCCCUUCCUCGGCCUCCCAACAUGCUGGGAUUACAGGCUCUGCCUCCUCUGUCGAAAAUUCAAGGCAGGCGGAAUGCAGUGCUGCCCCUGACACACACCACAGUAGCGACUCCAGUCUUCAUCUGAGAUGAUGGCACAGACAGUGUUUCACUCUUGUUGCCAAGGCUGGAGUGCAGUGGCGCCAUCUCAUCUCCCUUGCAAUCUCUGUCUCCUGGGUUCAAGUGAUUCUCCUGCCUCAGCCACCCUAGUAGCUGGGAUUACAGGCACCCGCCACCACGCCUGGCUAAUUUUUUUUUUCAGUAGAGGUGGGAUUUUGGGGUUUCGCCAUGUUGUCCAGGCUGGUCUCAAAUGCCUGGCCUCAGACAUACACCCACCUUGGCCUCCCAAAGUGCUGGGAUUACAGAGACCAUGAUGUUUUUUACUUUCAGCACAGUAUUCAAUAGAUUACAUAAAAUAUUUAACACUUGCUUGUGCUGAAUGAUUUUGACUAACUGUAGGCUAAUCGAAGCGUUUUGAGCAUGUUUAAGGUAGGCAAAGCUAAGCUAUGAUGUUUAGUAGAUGAGGUAUAUCAAAUGCAUUUUCAACCUAAAAUAUUUUCAACUAACAAUGGAUUUAUUGUGAUGUAACUUUACUGUAAGUUGAGAAGCAUAUGUACGUGUGUAUACAGAUACCUAUAUAGAGAGAUAUCUAUAGAUAUAAAUAUAUAGACAGAUUGAUGAUAGAUAGGUCAAUAGAGCAAAUCUUGCUUUAGGAAAAUCUGAAACAUCUUAAUAUCCCUUGGAAACAAGAUGGUGUAGUAAGCUGUUCCGGCAUCACUAUAAAGAAAUAUCUGAGGCUGUGUAAUUAGUAAGAAAAGAGGUUUAGUUGUCUCAUGGUUCUGCUGGCUGUACAGGAAGCAUAGGGCUGGCAUCAGCUUCUGGGGAGGCCUCAGAAAGCUUCCAAUCAUGGGGUAAGAAAAAGGGGGAGCAGGUGUCUUACAUGGCAGGAAUGGGAGCUAGAGGGUAGGGGGAGGUGCCUCUGGAUUUAAACAACCGGAUCUCACAAGAAAUCACUCACUGUUGCAAAAACAGCACCAAGGAGGGAUGGUGAUAAGCCAAUCAUAAGAAAUCCACCUCCACGAUCAGUCACCUCCCACUCAUAAGAAAUCCACCUCCAUGAUCAGUCACCUCCCACUCAUAAGAAAUCCACCUCCACGAUCAGUCACCUCCCACUCAUAAGAAAUCCACCUCCACGAUCAGUCACCUCCCACUCAUAAGAAAUCCACCUCCACGAUCAGUCACCUCCCACUCAUAAGAAAUCCACCUCCAUGAUCAGUCACCUCCCACCAGGCCCCGCCUCCACGAUCAGUCACCUCCCACCAGGCCCCGCCUCCAACACUGAGGAUAACAGUUUAACAUGAGAUUUGGGGGAACGAAUAUCUAAACUAUUUCAAUUAAUAAUGGGCUAAUAAAGCCAAGUCAACUCUUAUGGGAACAUCAUCGGACGCUUGUCAAGAUAUUAGGGAAGAAUGCUGAGAGAGGGGGUGGAGCGGGCACACGGAAAGAAACAGAGAUGGGAGCACUCUCCACCCUCACAGCACCAUGAGGGAAGUAGCCUUGACCUUGAUAUUCCCACAGGAACUCAGGGUGCUGAGCUUGUAUUGCCGACAUCAUCAUUUUUCUGAACAAGCCUGGGUAAGUCUCUACUGCCUGUAAACAAAAGAGGCGUGGCUAGAAUGAAAAUCAUGCUAGGUGAAGAAUCGUGAUGCAAAUUGGCUUUUAUGUAUUAGGCCAACUUUGUAAAAGAUAAGCACAC